rnacentral:rRNA from 1 species
UACGUAUGGUGCAAGCGUUAUCCGGAUUUACUGGGUGUAAAGGGAGCGCAGGCGGCACGGCAAGCCUGAUGUGAAAGCCCGCGGCCCAACCGCGGGACUGCAUUGGGAACUACCGGGCUGGAGUGCCGGAGAGGUAGGCGGAAUUCCUAGUGUAGCGGUGAAAUGCGUAGAUAUUAGGAGGAACACCAGUGGCGAAGGCGGCCUACUGGACGGUGACUGACGCUGAGGCCCGAAAGCGUGGGGAGCAAACAGG